GUCUGAGUUGCAUUCAGAAGAUGUAGAUUAGUUUUCUGCAAGUCCUA
rnacentral:tRNA from 1 species